AUGGGGAAGUCCCCGGCCAAGUGGAUAAAGUCCGUGCUCCUCGGGAAGAAAUCAACAAAAUCCAGUUCUACCAAGGCAAAGGAUCUUCCAGCAAAGGCUGCAAACAGCAACGGAUACACUGCUGGGAAGGAGCCUGAAUCCUCUGAUAAUUCUCCCCUCAUCUCGGAACCGGUACUUGUUAGCUCCCACAAUGUGUCGGAAAUUUCUAACUUGCCCAACGGGAGGGCAAUCGAAAACAUGGUUAGAGUUGGGUCCGACACGCAAAUUAGUCCAGAGAAACUGAGAGAAGAACUAGCAGCAGUGAAGGCGCAAGCUGCUUUUCGAGGUUACCUGGCACGCAGGGCCUUCCGCGCAUUAAAAGGUAUCAUCAGACUUCAGGCACUGAUUCGUGGACACCUUGUAAGGAGGCAGGCUGUUUCAACCCUUCGUGCAACAUGGUUGAUUGUGAAGUUUCAAGCUCUAGUUCGUGGAAGAAAUGUUAGACUUUCUAGUGCUGCCAUGCAAUUAGCUGUGAAGUUUGGCCAACAUAAGUAUGGGGGUGACAAGUCGUCUGAUGCAUGGAAGGAGAAGCUAUCUUCACAUCCAUAUGUUCGAAAGCUUCUGUCUUCACCAGUUUUGGUACAAGCUCUUCACGUUCAGUAUGACGAGGCGAACCCCAAUUCAGCCCACAACUGGCUGGAGAGAUGGACAAUAAGCUGCAUCUGGAAGCCUGUUUUCAAACCAAAAAUAGUUGCUGACGGGAAACCGCAAGUAAGGAGGGCCAGUUAUGCCAUGGAAACUCACUCAGCAAAGUUAAAGCGCAAUGUUCGGAAGUCUUCUGCUGCCACUGUUGAGACUCAGACAAAUACCGUUGAACCUGAAAAAUGGAAAAGAAACACACGGAAAUUCAAUGGCUCACCUGCUGAUUCAGUACCAGAUAGCCAGUUAUCUGAACUUGAGAAGGUUAAAAGGAACCUUAAGAAGGCAGCUAACUCCAUGGCUGAAGCCUCUAAGAUAUCUACCAAGGCUGAUGUGUCAAAGGUACCUAAUUCCAUAGCUGAUGAGCUGAAGAUUCUUGGUUCCAUGGCUGAACCCUCAAAAAAAUCCAGCAUACUGAAUGGUAUCUCUGACCAUCAAGACAGUGAAUGCGAGAAAGCUCUAGAGAGUACAAGCGAGGCUCUGUUUCCUCUUGAAACUCAAGAUUGUCACAGUGGCAAUCUUUUGGAAAAUUCAAAUAUAGAUAAGUUGGCACCUGACAUAAAAUAUGAUCUAGAAGCAUCAUUCUUAGGUGACAAAGUUAAUGAACCCACUACUGUCGCUCAAGCAGAUGAAGUCAUGCCACUGCAGAACCUUGAUAACGGAUAUGAUAUUAUAGAAAGAAAAGAAGAGACUAGGUCCAAGGAAGAACCUUUGCCUAAUGGAAGCCUUAAAACCAAGAGAAGGUCUUCGUUCUCUAAUUCAGAAUACCCUGAGAGUGGAACCAAGAAUACUCCAGUUCCAUCAAGGAAGCCAAGCUAUAUGGCUCCAACAGAAUCGUUAAAGGCGAAAUUGCGAGGACCACCCAGAUUAGACUCUGAUCUACCAGUGGACAAGAAUGCCUUCACUCGCCGUCAGUCUCUUCCUUCUGCUGCAAACAAUAGAGGAGUCAAAACAGAAUGGAGGCGGUGA
rnacentral:rRNA from 1 species